AUUGAACGCUGGCGGCAUGCCUUACACAUGCAAGUCGAACGGCAGCACGGGAGUAAUCCUGGUGGCGAGUGGCGAACGGGUGAGUAAAGCAUCGGAACGUGCCCAGUCGUGGGGGAUAACGUAGCGAAAGCUACGCUAAUACCGCAUACGAUCUGUGGAUGAAAGCGGGGGACCGUAAGGCCUCGCGCGAUUGGAGCGGCCGAUGUCAGAUUAGGUAGUUGGUGAGGUAAAGGCUCACCAAGCCGACGAUCUGUAGCUGGUCUGAGAGGACGACCAGCCACACUGGGGCUGAGACACGGCCCAGACUCCUACGGGAGGCAGCAGUGGGGAAUUUUGGACAAUGGGCGGCAGCCUGAUCCAGCAAUGCCGCGUGGAGGAUUAAGGCCUUCGGGUUGUAAACUGCUUUUUUAAGGAGCGAAAAGGGUUCCCCUAAUACCGGGGGCUCAUGACGGUACCGUAAGAAUAAGCACCGGCUAACUACGUG
rnacentral:rRNA from 1 species